rnacentral:rRNA from 1 species
CCUACGGGUGACAGCAGUGAGGAAUAUUGGUCAAUGGCCGGAAGGCUGAACCAGCCAUGCCGCGUGAAGGUCAGUGCCCUAUGGGCGUUAAACUUCUUUUGUGCGGGAGCAAUAAUGGUCACGUGUGGCCAGACGAGAGUACCGUACGAAUAAGCAUCGGCUAACUCCGUGCCAGCAGCCGCGGUAAUACGGGGGAUGCAAGCGUUAUCCGGAUUUAUUGGGUUUAAAGGGAGCGUAGGCGGGGAUGCAAGUUGGGUGUCAAAACUACCGGCUCAACUGGUAGUCGCACUCAAAACUGCAGUUCUUGAGUGCAGUAGAGGCAGGCGGAAUUCCUAGUGUAGCGGUGAAAUGCGUAGAUAUUAGGAGGAACACCAGUGGCGAAGGCAGCCUGCUGGGCUUUUACUGACGCUGAGGCUCGAAAGUGUGGGGAGCAAACAGGAUUAGAUACCCUUGUAGUC